UUCAGUAAUCUUUAAGCUAUCUAUGUACACCAACAUCUGUUUUUUUUGUUCAAGAAAAUGACUUUAUCAACCCCAAAUUGUAUAGAUUCUUCCUUACAAUGCUACCAAGGGAUAGUAACAUUGCCCCACCUACACCCCCUGUGGGUUCUUCGUUUUCUUCCGCCUUUUGAUGAUAGAUCGAUGGCAAUUCCUUUACUUUCAAAUCACUCAAUCCGAUUUUCAUCCUAACUGCCUCGAUGAUCUUAGAGUCGGAU
rnacentral:misc_RNA from 1 species